UCCCCUCUUAUAUAUAUAACCCUCUACUAUCUCUAUUCUCUCUACCUCUCUCUCUCUCUCUCUAAAUCCCAUCUUUCUCUCUCUCUAGUCCUGGCUGCAGGUUUCAUGGCUCUAGCCGACGUACUUGGAACACCCGCAGGGAGAAGAUAUGAAGUUUCAAAUCCUAUGAAUGUUGACGCGGAUCAUGGCGGCGCCUUUGGCAUAGUCAUGAAGGGUAUAGAGGACGAGGGGGAGAAGAAGAAGGCGGUGCUUGUUUGUUGUUGAUGAAUUUGGCGCUAUCCUUACCUGAGCUUUUACCUUGAUCUUUCUUUCUUUCUUUAUUAUAUUUUUUGAUUUGUUGCCUUUUUUUCUUUUUGUGAUUCUUAUUUUCUUGACCUUGUAAGACCUUUUCUUGACCUUGUAAGACCCGGUGAUAUGUUAUGUGUCUUAAGCGUUUACUAUCGCCUAGAUCUUAACUCAUCACAUAGUCUUAAAAGGUCACUCUACUAUUUUCUUCCCUCCCACCCAACCUAGGUUCUCCUUCCUUGUCUAUCCCUUCUGAGCUAUUUCGUCCUGUUACUAAGAGACACUUAAAGUGUUUGUUCCAACUUUGAUGUAGUUGGUGGAAACAAACCUUAGUGUCUCUUCUUUAUUAGACAAAAAGAGACUAUAAUUCUUCAUCUCCAUCAACAAACGCAAUGCCGAAUCUUCAAUUUAUGUCAAAAAUGCAUCCUAACGCGUCUUGGGUUGCGGCGACGAUUUGAAAGAGAAAAGAAGAGUGAAGAUUGUAACAUAUAUAUUCAAGAUCUAAGUCAAAUUCAUCCUUUAUUUAUUUUCUUUCCAUUAUACAAUGAAAUGUUAUAUUAUAAGGUUCUAUUUAAGUGAAAAAAAUUAAGAUGCCAAUGAUUUUUUUG